UGAGAUUAAAGUAUUUAUUAAUCAUUUAUGUAAUUUCGGAAAACAUUUAUUAUUUAAGGGUGACACGUGGCAGCCUGGUAGUGGUCCACGUGGCAGUGGCAUGCUGACAUCAGCGUUGGCUGGGUCAACAGUCAACGGUGGGCCCCAUAGGUGGGCUCUACGGGAGGGCCCACCGGUGGGCCCACCUGCCACGUGGCGCCUAGGCGGCCACG
rnacentral:lncRNA from 1 species